GAACCCCCACCGCCCGACUCCAUCCUGGGCCCAGGAUCCCUAAGGAAUGGCCCCCUCCCUGUCACCCUGUACCCCUGACGCCUGGCUCACUCCUGGGCCACGGGAUCCCAGACGCCUGGCUCCCUCCUUGACACCAGGAACCCCUGAGGCCCGGCCUCCUCCUGGCACCCGGGACCCUGAUGCCCAACCACUUCCUAGGCACCUGGGACCAUGGACGCCCAGCUCCUCCGGGCACCUGGGAACCCCUACACCCUCCCUGGCACCCAUGUCCCCCAACACCCAGCCCUUCCUGUCACUCUGGAUUCCCGACGUUUGGCCCCAACCCUGGCAGUCCCGAUCCCCAGCACCUGGCCUCUUCCCUGGCACCCAGGACCCCCAGCACCUGGCCUCUUCCCUCAAACCCCGGACCCCAGACACCUGGCCCCUUCCCCGACGCCCAGCUCCCUCCUGGGUACAUGAGACCCCUGACGCUGGCCUCCUCCCUGGCACCCUGGACCCCUGA
rnacentral:lncRNA from 1 species